AAAGUCUAUGAAUGUAACAAAUUUAUAACAAACAAAACUUUCAACAACGGAUCUCUUGGCUCUCGCAUCGAUGAAGAACGCACCCCCCCCCGAUACGUAAUGUGAAUUGCAGAAUUCAGUGAAUCAUCGAAUCUUUGAACGCACCUUGCGCUCCAUGGUAUUCCGUGGAGCAUGCCUGUUUGAGUGUCAUGAAUUCUUCAACCCACCUCUUUCUUAGUGAAUCAGGCGGUGUUUGGAUUCUGAGCGCUGCUGGCCUCACGGCCUAGCUCGCUCGUAAUGCAUUAGCAUCCGCAAUCGAACUUCGGAUUGACUCGGCGUAAUAGACUAUUCGCUGAGGAUUCUGGUCUCUGACUGGAGCCGGGUAAGAUUAAAGGAAGCUACUAAUCCUCAUGUCUAUCUUGAGAUUAGACCUCAAAUCAGGUAGGACUACCCGCUGAACUUAAGCAUAUCAAUAAGCGGAGGAA
rnacentral:rRNA from 1 species